CUCCCUGUAGCUCAGUUGGUAGAGCAUGGUGUUUGCAAUGCCAGGGUUGCGGGUUCGAUUCCCACGGGGGGC
rnacentral:tRNA from 1 species